CUAGCUAAAUUGUUUGGCUCCAAAGAUUCUGAUUUGGCAACACAGAAUCGUCCUCUUUGGCAAUGUUUUCUUGGACGAUUUAAUGAUAUUCAUGUUCCUGUGAGAUUAGAAAGUGUGAAAUUUGCCAGUCAUUGUUUAAUGAAUCACCCAGAUUUAGCGAAGGAUCUCACAGGUAAGCUAGCUGGUUUAUUACACAUAUUAGCAUAACCAUACAACUAUAUUGUAGAUAUGACUUGUGACCUAACUUCACUUUCCAAGUAGGUUUUAACUCUGGUAUGGUCUCGUGUUUUCAUUUGUUGUGCACUAAGAAAUGAUUUCAUGUUCAUGUAAUAAAAUUACAUUUAAAAUCUC
rnacentral:lncRNA from 1 species